UAGUCUGGGAUACCACUUGGAAACAGGUGCUAAUACCGGAUAAGAAAGCGGAUCGCAUGAUCAGCUUUUAAAAGGCGGCGUAAGCUGUCGCUAUGGGAUGGCCCCGCGGUGCAUUAGCUAGUUGGUAAGGUAAAGGCUCACCAAGGCGAUGAUGCAUAGCCGAGUUGAGAGACUGAUCGGCCACAUUGGGACUGAGACACGGCCCAAACUCCUACGGGAGGCAGCAGCC
rnacentral:rRNA from 1 species